AAGGAUUUUCCAGGUCUUGGUGUGUUUUAGUGGUAUUGCUGGUGGUGUUCGACUAUGAUACAACAUGUUGCUGUAAUGCCUUGGGUUUAAUGGCUGCGUUGAUCGGGUGUUAACUGUACCUGUGUAGAUAGGGAAUCAGUCAUUUCAGUGAUCCAUAUAAGACCACACCUUUCAAAGCAUUUGUGUUCAGCUUUGUCAUUAGUGAUUGCAUAAAAUAUGACAUAAAAAGUAAAUUUAACUGGCGUUAUGCUCACUGUAUGAAUAGGGGCAUUUUACUGGUGCCUCGUGCCUCUGCUAAGAAGUGUUUUGACUGCCUUUGUCUGCAUUCUCUACCUGGCAACCUUGAAACCUGUGAUUCAAACAAUGUAGUUGAUUGUGUUCCUCAUCCGUUGUGCUUUUAGCAUAUUUCCCGAGUAUGACUUUGGACUGUCACAUAGAGAGCGACGUGUUUGUUGAUUGACUGUCAGCCGUUAUAAAGACACUGUAUUAAACGUUUUAUUCCAAGAUGGAUCUUCUUCCGGUCAAAAACUGUCAAGGCCUUUUUGUUUUCUUUCCAUCACCUAUUAAAUCAUUUUAAAAAAAUCUCAUAUUCUAUCCAAAUAAUGUUUUUGACUCGUCCUUUGCUUAUUUAUAAUAUUUAUAAUGGCUGGUAUUUGACCAACAACAUUGUGUUGUUUGUGAAUUUGGAAAGCAGGGUCACACAGAAAGCUGCUUAUUAACAUAGGGCCUACUUAAUAACCAUUUUUGGGAAGGAAAUCUAUUUCACAGUAGUAGGUCAUAUUCCAUAGAAAUCUUAGACAGCUACUUUAAGUAUAAUGGGAUCAUGUGUUAAUUACAACUUUACUUCCUGAUCUCCACUCUCAUUGAGAGAGUGUCACGUUCUGACCUUUAUUCCUUUGUAUUGACUUUAUUUAGUAUGGUCAGGGCGUGAGUUGGGGUGGGCAGUCUGUUAGUUUUGUCUUUAUUUAGUAUGGUCAGGGCGUGAGUUGGGGUGGGCAGUCUGUUAGUUUUGUCUUUAUUUAGUAUGGGCAGGGCGUGAGUUGGGGUGGGCAGUCUGUUAGUUUUGUCUUUAUUUAGUAUGAUCAGGGCGUGAGUUGGGGUGGGCAGUCUAUGUUAGUUUUGUCUUUAUUUAGUAUGGUCAGGGCGUGAGUUGGGGUGGGCAGUCUGUUAGUUUUGUCUUUAUUUAGUAUGGUCAGGGCGUGAGUUGGGGUGGGCAGUCUGUUAGUUUUGUCUUUAUUUAGUAUGGUCAGGGCGUGAGUUGGGGUGGGCAGUCUGUUAGUUUUGUCUUUAUUUAGUAUGAUCAGGGCGUGAGUUGGGGUGGGCAGUCUGUUAGUUUUGUCUUUAUUUAGUAUGAUCAGGGCGUGAGUUGGGGUGGGCAGUCUGUUAGUUUUGUCUUUAUUUAGUAUGAUCAGGGCGUGAGUUGGGGUGGGCAGUCUGUUAGUUUUGUCUUUAUUUAGUAUGAUCAGGGCGUGAGUUGGGGUGGGCAGUCUGUUAGUUUUGUCUUUAUUUAGUAUGAUCAGGGCGUAAGUUGGGGUGGGCAGUCUGUUAGUUUUGUCUUUAUUUAGUAUGGUCAGGGCGUGAGUUGGGGUGGGCAGUCUAUGUUAGUUUUGUCUUUAUUUAGUAUGGUCAGGGCGUGAGUUGGGGUGGGCAGUCUGUUAGUUUUGUCUUUAUUUAGUAUGGUCAGGGCGUGAGUUGGGGUGGGCAGUCUGUUAGUUUUGUCUUUAUUUAGUAUGAUCAGGGCGUGAGUUGGGGUGGGCAGUCUGUUAGUUUUGUCUUUAUUUAGUAUGAUCAGGGCGUGAGUUGGGGUGGGCAGUCUGUUAGUUUUGUCUUUAUUUAGUAUGAUCAGGGCGUGAGUUGGGGUGGGCAGUCUGUUAGUUUUGUCUUUAUUUAGUAUGAUCAGGGCGUAAGUUGGGGUGGGCAGUCUGUUAGUUUUGUCUUUAUUUAGUAUGGUCAGGGCGUGAGUUGGGGUGGGCAGUCUGUUAGUUUUGUCUUUAUUUAGUAUGGUCAGGGCGUGAGUUGGGGUGGGCAGUCUGUUAGUUUUGUCUUUAUUUAGUAUGGUCAGGGCGUGAGUUGGGGUGGGCAGUCUGUUAGUUUUGUCUUUAUUUAGUAUGGUCAGGGUGUGAGUUGGGGUGGGCAGUCUAUGUUAGUUUUGUCUUUAUUUAGUAUGAGCAGGGCGUGAGUUGGGGUGGGCAGUCUGUUAGUUUUGUCUUUAUUUAGUAUGAUCAGGGCGUGAGUUGGGGUGGGCAGUCUGUUAGUUUUGUCUUUAUUUAGUAUGAUCAGGGCGUGAGUUGGGGUGGGCAGUCUGUUAGUUUUGUCUUUAUUUAGUAUGAUCAGGGCGUGAGUUGGGGUGGGCAGUCUGUUAGUUUUGUCUUUAUUUAGUAUGGUCAGGGCGUGAGUUGGGGUGGGCAGUCUGUUAGUUUUGUCUUUAUUUAGUAUGGUCAGGGCGUGAGUUGGGGUGGGCAGUCUGUUAGUUUUGUCUUUAUUUAGUAUGGUCAGGGCGUGAGUUGGGGUGGGCAGUCUGUUAGUUUUGUCUUUAUUUAGUAUGAUCAGGGCGUGAGUUGGGGUGGGCAGUCUGUUAGUUUUGUCUUUAUUUAGUAUGGUCAGGGCGUGAGUUGGGGUGGGCAGUCUGUUAGUUUUGUCUUUAUUUAGUAUGGUCAGGGCGUGAGUUGGGGUGGGCAGUCUAUGUUAGUUUUGUCUUUAUUUAGUAUGAGCAGGGCGUGAGUUGGGGUGGGCAGUCUGUUAGUUUUGUCUUUAUUUAGUAUGAUCAGGGCGUGAGUUGGGGUGGGCAGUCUGUUAGUUUUGUCUUUAUUUAGUAUGAUCAGGGCGUGAGUUGGGGUGGGCAGUCUGUUAGUUUUGUCUUUAUUUAGUAUGAUCAGGGCGUGAGUUGGGGUGGGCAGUCUGUUAGUUUUGUCUUUAUUUAGUAUGGUCAGGGCGUGAGUUGGGGUGGGCAGUCUGUUAGUUUUGUCUUUAUUUAGUAUGGUCAGGGCGUGAGUUGGGGUGGGCAGUCUGUUAGUUUUGUCUUUAUUUAGUAUGGUCAGGGCGUGAGUUGGGGUGGGCAGUCUGUUAGUUUUGUCUUUAUUUAGUAUGGUCAGGGCGUGAGUUGGGGUGGGCAGUCUGUUAGUUUUGUCUUUAUUUAGUAUGGUCAGGGCGUGAGUUGGGGUGGGCAGUCUGUUAGUUUUGUCUUUAUUUAGUAUGGUCAGGGCGUGAGUUGGGGUGGGCAGUCUAUGUUAGUUUUGUCUUUAUUUAGUAUGGUCAGGGCGUGAGUUGGGGUGGGCAGUCUAUGUUAGUUUUGUCUUUAUUUAGUAUGGUCAGGGCGUGAGUUGGGGUGGGCAGUCUAUGUUAGUUUUGUCUUUAUUUAGUAUGGUCAGGGCGUGAGUUGGGGUGGGCAGUCUAUGUGAGUUUUUCUAUAUUUUCUAUUUCUGUGUUUGGCAUGGUAUGGUUCUCAAUCAGAGGCAGCUGUCUAUCGUUGUCCCUGAUUGAGAACCAUAUUUAGGGAGCCUGUUUUCCUUGGUGUUUUGUGGGUGGUUAUGUUCAGUCUUUGUGUGUCUGCACCAAAUAGAACUGUUUCGGUUGUCACGUUAUUGUUUUGUAUUUUUGAAGUGUUCAGUUGUUUAUUAAAAAAUGAACACUAACCACGCUGCGCUUUGGUCCUCUCCUUCUUCCACUCAAGACAGCCGUUACAGAGUUCGGAGUGGUCCCUAUAUUGACAUUAGUUAUUUGAAAUGUUUGAUGAUUAUAACAAUAAUGAUAAUGCACAACAUUUAUCACCAAUAUUUAGUUGUCUGUACUUUCAUUCUUUACAUUUUUACCAUCAUCCUGUCAAGAUUUUGACCCAGAACUUCAGUAUACUUUCAUAGAAGGCCAGGAGCACAACAACAGCCCAUUAUUUUUCUGCAGUGACUGUUUUGAGGAAGUGGAGUAGGCUUGGUUUUCUGUGUUUGGAUAAUAUACUGUACAUAUGGGUGUGAGAGGGUGUAGGACUGCCCUUCAGUGCUCUGCCUCGGCUCAAUGAGCUCUUAUUGGGAACCAGGGUGGAAAUGCUGCUCUCUGGAGAUGAUCAUGGUGUGAUAAUUGUAGUUACUGGGUUUGAGAAGUUUCAGGUCACGUUCAAGGCUACAUUGCAGACUGCCCAGUCAGGCAUCAGAUUUCUAUAUCACUUGACGUGUUUAGCUCAUGUACAUCUCAAUUUAGACAGCCUGGAACGUAGCCUCGGUGACCAGACCUCUCCGUUUCCACCCCCAAAAAUCCUUGGUCACACUUAAAAAUGAUCAAACCCUUUUUUCCAAUUUUCGCCCAAAAUGAUAUAUGGAAAUCUAACUGCCUGUACCUGAGGACCUGAAGCAAGGAUAUGCAUAUUCUUGAUACCAUUUUAAAGGAAACACUUUGACGUUUGUGGAAAUGUUAAAUUAAUGUAGGAGAAUGUAACACAUUAGAUCAGAUAAAAGAUAAUACAAAGAAAAAAACAUGCGUUUUUGUUUUUUUGGUACCAUCUUUGAAAUGCAACAGAAAGGCCAAUAUAUGAUUUGGGAUUCUAGGUGCAAUUUAGAUUUUGGCCACUAGAUGUCAGUAGUGUAUGCGCAACGUUUUAGACUGAUCCAAUGAACCAUUGUAUUUCUGUUCAAAAGUUUGUAUCAAGACUGCCCAAAUGUGCCUAAUUGGUUUAUUAAUCACUUUUCAAGUUCAUAACUGUGCACUCUCCUCAAACAAUAGCAUGGUAUUCUUUCACUGUAAUAGCUACUGUAAAUUGGACAGUGCAGUUAGAUUAACAAGAAUGUAAGCUUUCUUCCAAUGCCAUAUAUGUCUAUGUCCUGGAAAGUGUUCUUGCUACUUACAACCUCAUGCUAAUCGCAUAGGCCUACGUUAGCUCAACCAUCCCGCGGGAGACCCACCGAUCCUGUAGAGGUUUUUAAACCAUCUCACACUGGUGUUAUGCUUUGUGGACAUCCCAAAGCCAUACCUCAACCUAUACCAAAUAAACCCUAAUUAAUUAAUGUGGUGCUUUUUUAGGAAAUACAGUGCACUCCACUUCUAGUGAUCACAUUGGUCCAGGACAAUUUGAUACACUAGAACUGCAUCCAUUCUACCUGUAUGGCAUUGUAGUAAAAUAAUCACCUC